GCCGGCGGGGCGCCGGACGCGGGUGCGGCGUUGCCCGCGUCGGCGGGCGGCCUGCGGCCGUCGACGCCCGGGAUCCCGCCCGGCCCCGGCAC
rnacentral:tRNA from 1 species